rnacentral:rRNA from 1 species
GGCUCGGGAUGAACGCUAGCUACAGGCUUAACACAUGCAAGUCGAGGGGCAGCAGGGCAAUAGCUUGCUAUCCAGAUGGCGACCGGCGCACGGGUGAGUAACGCGUAUCCAACUUCCCCAUAGUAGGGCACAGCCCGGCGAAAGUCGGAUUAAUUCCCUAUGCAGUCCAGAGAGGACAUCUGACCUGGACGAAAGAUUCAUCGCUAUGGGAUGGGGAUGCGUCUGAUUAGGUUGCAGGCGGGUAACGGCCCACCUGGCCGACGAUCAGUAGGGGUUCUGAGAGGAAGGUCCCCCACAUUGGAACUGAGACACGGUCCAAACUCCUACGGGAGGCAGCAGUGAGGAAUAUUGGUCAAUGGACGGAAGUCUGAACCAGCCAAGUAGCGUGCAGGGAAAGACGGCCCUAUGGGUUGUAAACUGCUUUUAUCAGGGGAUAAAGUGAGGUAUGUAUACCUUUUUGCAUGUACCUGAUGAAUAAGGACCGGCUAAUUCCGUGCCAGCAGCUGC